rnacentral:lncRNA from 1 species
GUGGUCGUAUAGGUUCUCAAUUGGACCUUUACCGGUCACAAUAGCUUGGACGAAAUAUCCGAACAUCGAGAACAUAGCCAACCGUCCGUUCUUAACCUCUUUGACCUUCAAUUCGGUGAAGGCCUCUGGGUCAUCAGCUAAGCCCAAUGGGUCGAAUGAGCCUCCUGGGUAAAGUGGGUCAAGACCAUCUCCAAGUGGACCUCCACCAACGCGGUAUCCUUCGAUAAAGCCCAUCAAAACAACUUGGCAAGCCCAUAUGGCCAAGAUGCUUUGAGCAUGGACCAAGUUAGGAUUGCCUAAGUAGUCAAGCCCACCAUCUGAGAAGAUUUGAGAUCCAGCUUUGAACCAAACGGCUUCACCGAAUUUAACUCCGUUCUUUGAUAGAAGCUCUGGAAAGACACAACCUAAGGCGCCCAACAUGGCCCAUCUGCAAUGGAUCACCUCAAGUUCACGGUUCUUUGCGAAGGUCUCUGGGUCCGCUGAUAGACCGGCUGUGUCCCAACCGUAGUCACCUGGGAAUUCACCAGUUAGGUAUGAUGGAGUUUGCUCAGAGAAUGGACCCAAGUACUUGGGACGGUCUGCGCCGUACCUGAGAAGUUCCAAAGAAGUAGAAGAGAGGAAGAACAAACAUAUUAAUUAUGCACCUUACUAUGAUACCAUGUUAGAAUGGAUUAUAAGAAGAAAUAACAUGGUCGUACCAAACGCUGUCGGGAGUGCUCUUCACUGUGCGGCGCAUAGAUAUGCGACUCUCGAAGACUCCAACUUUGCGGACAAGUUCAUUUUGUUGCUUCAAGGUUGUCUGACCAACAAAGACAGAUUGAUGAAUCGCAGAGGUGGCCAUUCCUUGAGCUUCAAAAUGGAAGAGAACGAAUAGUUUUUUU